rnacentral:rRNA from 1 species
GACGAACGCUGGCGGCAUGCCUAAUACAUGCAAGUCGAGCGAACAGAUGAAGUGCUUGCACUUCUGACGUUAGCGGCGAACGGGUGAGUAACACGUAAGGAAUCUACCUAUAAGCGGGGGAUAACAUUCGGAAACGGGUGCUAAUACCGCAUAAUAUCUUCUUCCGCAUGGAAGAAGAUUGAAAGACGGCUCUGCUGUCACUUAUAGAUGACCUUGCGGUGCAUUAGUUAGUUGGUGGGGUAAUGGCCUACCAAGACGAUGAUGCAUAGCCGACCUGAGAGGGUGAUCGGCCACAUUGGGACUGAGACACGGCCCAAACUCCUACGGGAGGCAGCAGUAGGGAAUCUUCCGCAAUGGGCGAAAGCCUGACGGAGCAAUGCCGCGUGAGUGAAGAAGGCCUUC